rnacentral:rRNA from 1 species
CUGAUUAGGGGAUAAGCGCUGGAAACGGCGUCUAAUACUGGAUACGAGUAGCGACCGCAUGGUCAGCUACUGGAAAGAUUUAUUGGUUGGGGAUGGGCUCGCGGCCUAUCAGCUUGUUGGUGAGGUAAUGGCUCACCAAGGCGUCGACGGGUAGCCGGCCUGAGAGGGUGACCGGCCACACUGGGACUGAGACACGGCCCAGACUCCUACGGGAGGCAGCAGUGGGGAAUAUUGCACAAUGGGCGCAAGCCUGAUGCAGCAACGCCGCGUGAGGGAUGACGGCCUUCGGGUUGUAAACCUCUUUUAGCAGGGAAGAAGCGAAAGUGACGGUACCUGCAGAAAAAGCGCCGGCUAACUACGUGCCAGCAGCCGCGGUAAUACGUAGGGCGCAAGCGUUAUCCGGAAUUAUUGGGCGUAAAGAGCUCGUAGGCGGUUUGUCGCGUCUGCUGUGAAAUCCGGAGGCUCAACCUCCGGCCUGCAGUGGGUACGGGCAGACUAGAGUGCGGUAGGGGAGAUUGGAAUUCCUGGUGUAGCGGUGGAAUGCGCAGAUAUCAGGAGGAACACCGAUGGCGAAGGCAGAUCUCUGGGCCGUAACUGACGCUGAGGAGCGAAAGGGUGGGGAGCAAACAGGCUUAGAUACCCUGGUAGUCCACCCCGUAAACGUUGGGAACUAGUUGUGGGGUCCAUUCCACGGAUUCCGUGACGCAGCUAACGCAUUAAGUUCCCCGCCUGGGGAGUACGGCCGCAAGGCUAAAACUCAAAGGAAUUGACGGGGACCCGCACAAGCGGCGGAGCAUGCGGAUUAAUUCGAUGCAACGCGAAGAACCUUACCAAGGCUUGACAUAUACGAGAACGGGCCAGAAAUGGUCACUCUUUGGAACUCGUAAACAGGUGGUGCAUGGUUGUC